CAGCUGUAGAGAGUAGACCACUAUUC
rnacentral:piRNA from 1 species